GUGUUUGUUUUCAAUGGUUUAGAAAAGCGGCCAGUCGCCACUCAUAAUCGAUUGGUCGCUGGUUCGAGUCCAGCCGGGCCCA
rnacentral:tRNA from 1 species